GCUGUCGAAAAUUUUUAAAAAUUUAGUAAUACCUCAUACUCUGUUCCGAUAAGGAAUACGGGUAAGGGGUGUUACAGUUAUGGCAUGAAUAUCUGGUUUGUUUCCUAAGGUCUCAACUAGACCAUUCCACUAUCUCAAUCAUUAAUAUACAAUCUCAGUUCACAAUCUAGCCAUUCAUACUAUAUCAAUUCAAUGAAAAUUCAAAUACAUACAUUAACAAUGUAGUCGUAUUAUUUACAUACAACUUACCUCGAUUUACAAAAUAUACUUGACUAGUCUGUUUAGUCGGAUUGCUUGGCUUUGCCCCGGUCUAGGUUCGGUUUUGGCAAAUCUUGAUCUAUAAUAACAAAAUGCACUCAUUUAGUCACUAAUUACAAUUAGGCAAUGUAACACCCCUCGCCCGCAUCCGACGUCGGGACGCGGUUCGAGGUGCUACCUGACUUUUACUAACACUUUCAUACUAAACAAGGCCAUGAAAUCUCAAAUAAUUAAAAACUUUUCUUUUCACAUGUAAUAUGUCCCUUAUGCAAGCUUACGAGGCCCAAUACAUGCAUUCGGGGUGGUUCGGGACUCAACCGAGAACUCAUGAAAAACAUAGGAAAUCUCUUGCAUCAAGGCUCCACACGCUCGUGUAGGUAUAGAGCACACGCCUUGGUGCUAAGGACACGCCCGUGUCCCGAACCCAUGUCCAAAAACCUAGACAAAUACAAGGCUAUUUUCCAAGCCAUUUUGUCACACUCACAACACAUGCACGCAUACUUAUACAAUAGCAUACAACAUAACAAAAUUAGGCACUUAAGCCUUCCUAACAUGACAUGACCAUGGUAAUUUCACAUGCAACCAUUACAAUAAGUUUUUCUUUCAUCUUUACCAUAUUAAUGCUAUAGCUAUCAACAUGUCAUCAAACCUCAUGUCCAUCACAAAGCAUGCAUAAUCAUAUCCACAAACCAUUCAUGAAGCAUUAUUAACUAUUUACCAAUCACUUAAUCCUGCAUUAGUUAUUAGCUCAUCAAUGAAUCUCAAUUCAAUCUCUAGGCAUACAUGUUGUAAGCCACAUCACAAGAGAUAAUAACAUACAUGCAUAAGAAUAAUCAUAUGGGCCCAUAACGAUAUUAGCCGACAUAGGCCAAUUUACAUGACUAAUACUACCUUAAUAAUAAGCCAAUGCCUUUGGCUAAAUCAUAAUAUUACAAUACUACCUUAAUAACAAGCCAAUGCCUUUGGCUAAAUCAUAAUAUUACAUACUCACAUUAAAACCCUAUACAUGCCAUAGACUAGAAUCAUUUGAGUUUACUUACGCCGAUAGCGUUAACUCGACAGUGUGAUAAUAUCUCUGACGGCCUCCAACCCGAGCUAACCUGAAAACUCUAGAAAACAUGGGAAAGAAGGGGGUAAGCUUUCACUUAGUAAGUUCAUAUGAAAACAAUAAGCAACUCAUUAACUUGUUUUAUCAAUGUUUACAACAUAUUCUCAAGUUCACUACAAGCUGUCUUCCUGAGCAGCAGUCACUAAAUUGUUUAUAUCUAGAGCUACGAAACUCCAAAUUAAGUUCCGUUAAUUUUCCCUGAAACUAGACUCAUUUAUCUUUCUUCCAUAAAAUUUCAAGAAUUUUUGACUUAGCCAAUUAUUACAGUUUAUUCCUUAAGUUUGCUCUUGAUUCACUGUCUGACAGUUUCAACCCUUCUUCAUUAAAGUUCAAUUAUCUCAUAGUACAGGACUCGAAUAAUGUUCUUGUCUAUUUAUCUUGAAACUAGACUCAUAUUUAUACUUACUAAUUUUUUUCUAGAAUUUUUGGUCAAGCCAUUUAGUACAGUUUAUUAGUUAAAGUUUCCCCUAUUUCAGGGUAUGACUACUCUGACCCCUAUGUACUACAAACCAAAUUUCUCCCUGUACAUAAUUCCAAUGAUCAUGCUGUUUGUUUCCUUUAAAGAUAGACUCAAUAAGGAAUCCAUGCAUGUAAGGUAUGACUCUUAAUAAUUUUUGUACAAUUUACGGUGAAUUUAUAAAAUCAGAAUAGGGGAUCUCGAAUUGAUUCAGACCCUGUUUCAUGAGAAUUUAAAUAUCACACAAUAUAGAAUUCUUUUUCUUCCUCUAUUUCUUUCAUGUGAAAAUAGACUCAUUAAGCUUUAAUCCCAUAUUUUAUUCUACCUCUAACUCAUUUUCCACUAUUUUUAGUGUAUUUUCAAAGUUACACUACUGCAGUAACUCAAAUCUGUCAAGGCUAAGUUACUCAUUAAGCUUUAAUCCCAUAUUUUAUUCUGCCUCUAACUCAUUUUCCACUAUUUUUAGUGUAUUUUCAAAGUUACACUACUGUAGUAACUCAAAUCUGUCAAGGCUAAGUUACUCAUUCAUGGUCAUUGUUCAUAAUAUUAAUACAACACCAUUUUAUCCAUCAUGGUAAGAACACAUAUUAUGCAUCAUAGAUCAUCACAUAUCAAGGCAUUCUCAUAGGCUUAGUAUACAUACUUGCACAACUCGUAACAUAACUCGAGUGCAUACUCACCAAUGACUUACCUCAUUGGGAUCAUCAUCAACUCUUUCCUUAGAUUGCCCGUUGAACACUUGGAAUACUAAUUGGAUACUCGGAAAAGCCUUUGCACAUAAGUGCCUCAAUUGUAGCUAAAACUAUCUCAUAUCUCAUGACAUUUCAAUGCUCACUAUCGAGCUAGUCAUCUAGACUCAUAAUUUCUAGUGACAUGUCACUCGUAUCCUAAUUUAUCCCUAAGGUUCAAACAGGAUUUUUCCUUGCCUAUUAAGGCUUUUGUCUUAUCAUAUUUCUAUUAAUCACAUACACAUUAAUAUCUGUACAAUUCAUGUAAUGAUAACAUUUAAAUACAUGAAUAGCAUGGUAUUGUUUACAUACGAACUUACCUCGAUACCACAAAGGUGAAAAGACAUACUCGUUCAUAAAUCGAUUUCUUUCCGUUCUAGGUCCAAAUCUCAAUUUUCAUCAUCUAUAACAUCAAUUUAGCCUAACAAUCAGUCACAAUAUUCAUAUGAGUCCAAAAAUCAUAUUUUUACAAAUUUUCAUUUUGACCCCUAAACUUUUGUAUAUUUGCACUUUUGCCCCAAUGCUCGUAAAUUAAUUUUUAUCACAUUUCUUUACUCCUUGAGUCUAGAUGAACCAUUUUCAUAACUAUAGCAACUCAUAAUUUCAACUAUUUUACACAUUUACAACUCAUUUUACAACUUAGCAAUUUAGCCCUUUUUAAGGUAUUUUCAUGCAAUUUCUUUCACAAAAGUUGUUUAUUAGACAACUAGGACUCAUAAUCUUCCAUAAAAACACAGAAAACAACACAUUUACUCUCAUGGUAAAACCCUAGACUCUUCAUCAUUUUGCAAAAUAAUCCCCUCUUAUGAAAGCUCAUGCUUUAGGGGUUCCAAAAAUGUAAAAAUCAUCAAGCAAAGACAUUAAAAUCACUUACUAUAACGGGAGUUUCUUUGCUGAAAGUUUCCAGCUUCUAAACCCUUUCUUUGCUGCCAUUUUUCGGUGGAGAGAAGAUGAAGAAAAGAUGAUAUUUUCUUUUCUUUAUUUUAU
rnacentral:lncRNA from 1 species